GACUACAAAUGAAUUAAUUAUACCUGGGCGUUUGUCUCACCCCAACAUCGUACGGAUGAUUGCUGUAGCCAGAAGUGAGACACACGUCCUCAUUGCUAAUGAGUAUAUCCAUGGUGCCAACUUGCAGGAGGUUCUUCACAAAGACAUUCACAUCAAGUUGCAGGACGAGGAUAAGCUGUUUGUGGCUUUAGAUAUUGCCAUGGCUGUUGAGUACAUACAUGGAAAACCAAUCAUCCACCAAGAUCUGAAGCCAGCCAAUAUAAUGAUUGCAGCAGAAAACAAAAAGGCCUACUUGACUGAUUGGGGCAUGGCGAACCUGAAGGAAACGGUGACGAUGACGAGAGGAGACCAUCAAUCAGGGGCUUUGUGUGGCCCACUGGGAGGAACUUUCUCCUACAUGGCCCCAGAAUGCCUAGUAGAGUGUAAGAAAUGCAGCACCAUGUCAGACAUGUGGUCUCUUGGCAUCACUCUUCUGGAGAUGUUCACCAACUCUCAGGCCUGG
ensembl:lncRNA